rnacentral:tRNA from 1 species
GUCCUCGUAGCUCAGCAGGAUAGAGCGCAAAAUUCCUAAUUUUGAGGUCAUGAGUUCGAAUCUCGCCGUGGACACCA